GUCUCUGCUCUCACACUCAUCGAUGUCUGCGGAGAGAAGCACCAACACCUCAGCAUUCCCUGAGCCUGCCAUCAACACAGAUUACUGCUGCCAAUGGGAGUCUGACAGAAGCACUGUGACUAGACUGGGGCUACUGGUGGUUUUUGAAGUGUGAGAAGAUUCACCAAGCCCAUCCUCCCUCCAGGAAGAUAUCAUCUGCUGCUG